UACGUAGGGGGCGAGCGUUGUCCGGAAUUAUUGGGCGUAAAGCGCACGUAGGCGGUCUGUUAUGUCGGACGUGAAAUCCCCCGGCUCAACCGGGGAAGUGCAUCCGAAACUGGCAGGCUUGAGUACGAAAGAGGGUCGCGGAAUUCCCGGUGUAGAGGUGAAAUUCGUAGAUAUCGGGAGGAACACCGGUGGCGAAGGCGGCGACCUGGGUCGAUACUGACGCUGAGGUGCGAAAGCGUGGGGAGCAAACAGG
rnacentral:rRNA from 1 species